rnacentral:rRNA from 1 species
GGAUGACUUGUGGAUAGGGGUGAAAGGCUAAUCAAGCCUGGUGAUAGCUGGUUCUCCCCGAAAGCUAUUUAGGUAGCGCCUCGGACGAAUACCAUAGGGGGUAGAGCACUGUUUCGGCUAGGGGGUCAUCCCGACUUACCAAACCGAUGCAAACUCCGAAUACCUAUGAGUACUAUCCGGGAGACAGACUGCGGGUGCUAACGUCCGUAGUCAAGAGGAAAACAAUCCAGACCGCCAGCUAAGGCCCCAAAAUCAUAGUUAAGUGGGAAACGAUGUGGGAAGGCAUAGACAGCUAGGAGGUUGGCUUAGAAGCAGCCACCCUUUAAAGAAAGCGUAAUAGCUCACUAGUCGAGUCGGUCUCCGCGGAAGAUUUAACGGGGCUAAGCAGUGAACCGA